rnacentral:rRNA from 1 species
AGGACCCGUCUUGAAACACGGACCAAGGAGUCUAACAUGUGCGCGAGUCAUUGGGACUUGUAAAGCCUAAAGGCGCAAUGAAAGUGAAGGUCGGCCUUAGCGUCGACCGAGGGAGGAUGGCUCGCGUCACGAUGCGAGCCCGCACUCCCGGGGCGUCUCAUGCUCAUUACGAGCAGAGGCGCACCCAGAGCGUACACGUUGGGACCCGAAAGAUGGUGAACUAUGCCUGGUCAGGACGAAGUCAGGGGAAACCCUGAUGGAGGUCCGUAGCGAUUCUGACGUGCAAAUCGAUCGUCGGAACUGGGUAUAGGGGCGAAAGACUAAUCGAACCAUCUAGUAGCUGGUUCCCUCCGAAGUUUCCCUCAGGAUAGCUGGCACUCGCUUGAGCGAGUCUCAUCUGGUAAAGCGAAUGAUUAGAGGCCUUGGGGCCGAAACGACCUCAACCUAUUCUCAAACUUUAAAUGGGUGAGAUCUCUGGCUUGCUUGAACGUUGAAGCCACGAGAUGUAAUUUAUUGCAAUGGAUCAGAGUGCCAAGUGGGCCAAUUUUGGUAAGCAGAACUGGCGCUGUGGG